AGAGUUUGAUCCUGGCUCAGGAUGAACGCUAGCUACAGGCUUAACACAUGCAAGUCGAGGGGAAACGACAUCGAAAGCUUGCUUUUGAUGGGCGUCGACCGGCGCACGGGUGAGUAACGCGUAUCCAACCUGCCCACCACUUGGGGAUAACCUUGCGAAAGUAAGACUAAUACCCAAUGACGUCUCUAGAAGACAUCUGAAGGAGAUUAAAGAUUUAUCGGUGAUGGAUGGGGAUGCGUCUGAUUAGCUUGUUGGCGGGGUAACGGCCCACCAAGGCGACGAUCGAGUAGGGGUUCUGAGAGGAACGGUCCCCCACAUUGGAACUGAGACACGGUCCAAACUCCCGUAGGGAGGCA
rnacentral:rRNA from 1 species